rnacentral:rRNA from 1 species
CGAGGGCUUGACCAGCAAAAGGCGGAGGUUGGAAAUUGGAGGUUAGAAGUUGGAAAGACUACUAGCGCCAAGGAUAAUCCAACCAAAGUGAAAAAGCCUGGGCUUUAAAAAAACAAAUCGCUGUGCAGUUUUGAAGGGAUAAUGAGUUUGGUUAUCCAAUUUCCAACUUCUAAAUUCAAACGUCUAAUAAGUUUUCCGGUGACCAUACUGGAGAGGAUACACCCGUUCCCAUCCUACCCCUCCGGGGCACACGCGAACACGGAAAGUUAAGCUCUCUAAGGCCGAUGGUACUUGAGCUUAUACCCUGCUGUGUGCCCCGUAGGGGUAGGAGAGUAGGUAGUUGCCGGAA